rnacentral:rRNA from 1 species
GACGAACGCUGGCGGCGUGCUUAACACAUGCAAGUCGAGCGGUAAGGCCCUUUCGGGGGUACACGAGCGGCGAACGGGUGAGUAACACGUGGGUGACCUGCCCUCAGCUCUGGGAUAAGCCCGGGAAACUGGGUCUAAUACUGGAUAUGACUCCAUGACGCAUGUUGUGGGGUGGAAAGCCUUGUGCGGCUGAGGAUGGGCCCGCGGCCUAUCAGCUUGUUGGGGGGGUGAUGGCCUACC